UACAGAGGGUGCGAGCGUUAAUCGGAAUAACUGGGCGUAAAGGGCGCGUAGGCGGGUUAAUAAGAGAUAUGUGAAAGCCCUGGGCUUAACCUAGGAAGUGCAUGUUUAACUAUUAAUCUGGAGUAUGAGAGAGGGUGAUAGAAUUUCCGGUGUAGCGGUGAAAUGCGUAGAUAUCGGAAAGAAUGUCAGUGGCGAAGGCGAUUGCCUGGCUCAAUACUGACGCUGAGGCGCGAGAGCGUGGGGAGCAAACAGG
rnacentral:rRNA from 1 species